rnacentral:lncRNA from 1 species
UAACAUGACGGCCCUUAACUAAUUAUAAUGCAUUUAACAACAAAAUAAGAUAAAACCUUAAACUAUUCAUAAAUCACCUUAAACUCAAAUUUACAAUUAUCUUAAAAGUGCUGAAAUUAGUGACAAUUUAAGUUGAUUGUACUUAGCAACCAAAUACUUUCGAACAUGCAUGAUAUACAUAGUCAACAUUCUUUAAGACACAUUCAAAUAAGUUACUGGAGUUGUUUACCAACUUGAAAUUCUGAAUCAGUACAUGAAAAGAUGAAUUAAUUCGAACAUUCAAACAUGAAAUUCCCCACUAAACUAUUGACUAUCAAGCAAAUCCAAAACACUUGUAUAAAAGCUGAGAAAACUAGAAAGCUAAAUAACUUAGAAGAAAAACAUAUAAAAGAAAACUGAAAUUUAACAUUUUGAACAUUAACUUUAUAUUACAAAUACAUAUUUUAAAGAAAAAAAUAUGCUUGCACUUCAAUGGUCAUUCAAAAUCCAAGUUGUGAGCUGAAAUAGAAAGAGAACAACAAUCAGAAAAUGGAAUCAGCAGGAGAGACACAACAUGAGCACAGCUCUAUACUUCAACCAUGUUUGGACCUUUGAAAACCAACAAUUCCCAAGAGAAACGUGUUCUAACUUUUUUUCUUUUUUUUUUUAAAUCAGAACUUAGAUCAGCACAGUAGAGCUGAACGUUUAGGGUAUUUUUAGGGUCUGAAAAAUCUAUCUAGAAUAAGGGAGUCACCUUUAUUUUAUAGGGUAUGCCUAAAACAGCAUCAAAAAAGCAUAUUCUACACUAAAUUCCCUAAAGGUCAGAUAGUACAACAUAUUUGGAUAGCUGGUUGUCCUUUUUUCAGCCCAAUUCCAGUAUUUUCAUGCUAAGAAUGAGGACAACUGUACAAAUUCUAGAAUAUUCUGAUUUUUACCUAAUAUAAGACUCAAUUUUACCCCUUCAAUUACUGAUUAUUUCAGUUAUACCAAUUACGACCUAAAUUCUGAUUUCAAAACCCUUGUAGAACCUCCAAGAACAAUCAAGAAGAUUCCAACAUUGAACUUCCUAACAUUAUUUCAAUUGUUCUUUUAAUUCUGAAAUUGGUCAUAAGCUUAAGGGCGUCUGGGGUUAUCCAAACAAUCUAAACCUAAUUAGUAAAUUAACAUACUUACCUAAUUAUCCUUAAACAAAACUAAAUUUAAACAACUAACACAUCUAAACAGUAAACAAACAAGAACAAGAAUGAAGAUACAAAGAAACCCUAGAAAUUAACCUACUCAGUAUGCAAGUUCAACAAUCUAAUCAACUAAUCUUUCUAACAGCUAACAAAAAAUAGACUAAGCAGCUCGUUAAUCAACUUCAGUAAAAUUAUUCUAAUUAACAUAAACCAAAUACUGAACAUAAAACAAACAAGAAUAAGAGAGAAAUAGACAGAAACAUGGAGAAAAACAGAAAAAUCAUACUAUUUAUCAAAACCUAAAAGUUAAUCCCUAAUUAACCUAAAUUUAUGCAAUUAAAACUAAAAUUCAAAUUCUUAUAAAAUUUAAUAUGCUUCAUAAACAAAUUAAACAAGUAGACAAUACCAAGCAAAAGGAAAAGAACUAAGCUGUGAUUACCUACGUCAUGCGGGCUAUAAGAAGAAAGAAGAAAAAGAUAAACAAAAGAAGAAAGGAAAAAGAACGAAAAAGGAAUUACCAAAACUUGUUUCGAAUUGAACCAGUCAUGAACUCAGACAUGCUUCAAUAGGGGAAAUGAACUUGGACGACCAGUAAUCCACUAUUCUUAACAAGAACAAUCAACUAAUUAAAAUCUUGGGUACAAAUGACACAUAAAUGAAGAUAAAUCAAAAGGGAAAAACAAGGGUUUGGAUUUUAUAUCCAAGAUUCGAGAAUUUUCAGACUUGUUUAAAGGCAACUGUUGUGAUGUAUGGAAAGAGGAAGAGGAGGUGAUCAUCUGGUGCUAAUUUGAGGUGGUUUGGAGGUGGUUCGCUGCCGUGAAGAGAUUUCCGGUCAACGGACCACGGCGGAGGCAGCAAGGGUUAUAACGGAGGCUAGGGUAAUAUGUUAGAAAGAUGGGAGAGAAGAAACUGAGGCUGGUCUCUAGAGUUUUGGGAGGGGGUGUUCAGACAGUCUUAUACUUAGUAAGGGAGCAGUUGCGAGCCGUUG